GCUUAACGCGAAGAACCUUACCCACCUUUGACAUGUACGGAAUUUGCCAGAGAUGGCUUAGUGCUCGAAAGAGAACCGUAACACAGGUGCUGCAUGGCUGCCGUCAGCUCGUGUCGUGAGAUGUUGGGUUAAGUCCCGCAACGAGCGCAACCCUUGCCAUUAGUUGCUACGAAAGGGCACUCUAAUGGGACUGCCGGUGACAAACCGGAGGAAGGUGGGGAUGACGUCAAGUCCUCAUGGCCCUUAUAGGUGGGGCUACACACGUCAUACAAUGGCUGGUACAAAGGGUUGCCAACCCGCGAGGGGGAGCCAAUCCCAUAAAGCCAGUCGUAGUCCGGAUCGCAGUCUGCAACUCGACUGCGUGAAGUCGGAAUCGCUAGUAAUCGUGGAUCAGCAUGUCACGGUGAAUACGUUCCCGGGUCUUGUACACACCG
rnacentral:rRNA from 1 species